rnacentral:rRNA from 1 species
AAGUCGAACGGCAGCGCGGGGCAACCUGGCGGCGAGUGGCGAACGGGUGAGUAAUAUAUCGGAACGUACCCUGGAGUGGGGGAUAACGUAGCGAAAGUUACGCUAAUACCGCAUACGAUCUAAGGAUGAAAGUGGGGGAUCGCAAGACCUCAUGCUCCUGGAGCGGCCGAUAUCUGAUUAGCUAGUUGGUAGGGUAAAAGCCUACCAAGGCAUCGAUCAGUAGCUGGUCUGAGAGGACGACCAGCCACACUGGAACUGAGACACGGUCCAGACUCCUACGGGAGGCAGCAGUGGGGAAUUUUGGACAAUGGGCGCAAGCCUGAUCCAGCAAUGCCGCGUGAGUGAAGAAGGCCUUCGGGUUGUAAAGCUCUUUUGUCAGGGAAGAAACGGCAGUUUCUAAUACAGAUUGCUAAUGACGGUACCUGAAGAAUAAGCACCGGCUAACUACGUGCCAGCAGCCGCGGUAAUACGUAGGGUGCAAGCGUUAAUCGGAAUUACUGGGCGUAAAGCGUGCGCAGGCGGUUUUGUAAGUUUGUCGUGAAAUCCCCGGGCUCAACCUGGGAAUGGCGAUGAAGACUGCAAGGCUAGAAUCUGGCAGAGGGGGGUAGAAUUCCACGUGUAGCAGUGAAAUGCGUAGAGAUGUGGAGGAACACCGAUGGCGAAGGCAGCCCCCUGGGUCAAGAUUGACGCUCAUGCACGAAAGCGUGGGGAGCAAACAGGAUUAGAUACCNCUGGUAGUCCACACCCUAAACGAUGUCUACUAGUUGUCGG